GACGAACGCUGGCGGCGUGCUUAACACAUGCAAGUCGAACGGAAAGGCCCUGCUUUUGUGGGGUGCUCGAGUGGCGAACGGGUGAGUAACACGUGAGUAACCUGCCCUUGACUUUGGGAUAACUUCAGGAAACUGGGGCUAUUACCGGAUAGGAGCUCCUGCUGCGUGGUGGGGGUUGGAAAGUUUCGGCGGUUGGGGAUGGACUCGCGGCUUAUCCGCUUGUUGGUGGGGUAGUGGCUUACCAAGGCUUUGACGGGUAGCCGGCCUGGGAGGGUGACCGGCCACAUUGGGACUACGAUACGGCCCAGAAUCCUACGGGAGGCAGCAGUGGGGAAUAUUACACAAUGGGCGGAAGCCUGAUGCAGCAGCGCCGCGUGCGGGAUGACGGCCUUCGGGUUGUAAACCGCUUUCGCCUGUGACGAAGCGUGAGUGACGGUAAUGGGUAAAGAAGCACCGGCUAACUACGUG
rnacentral:rRNA from 1 species